GCGCUGCAUAAGGUCAACACAUUCUACCACAAGGAUUUUGUGAUCGAUCAAGAUAACCGCUGGCUCUUGCAAGGCUGGAAAGGAAGAACCGUCAUGGCUCUUUCUGUUUGGAAACCAGAGUCCAAGGCUUGACUGACAAAUCGUCGUUAGCAUAAGAGAGAACCAUAUCUUGAUUUUUUCCCCUGUGAUUCCAAGAUACGGCAUCACAGAUGAAAGUCUUUGUCAUCCGGAAGAACUUGUUAAAAGAUGAGAAUUGAUGUAAUUCCCUAUUUAUAACUUCCUAGCUGGAUAUUUGUUGGUUUCUCAGCUAGGUUAGUAGGUUCUCCAAACGGUAUUCUUGUAGCUAGGGAUGAUCAGAGAGUUUGUAUAUUGCUAGAGAGUUAACUUGUCUAGAUUGUAACACGUAUAAGAGGAAGCUUAGAUAAACUAUGGUUUCAAGAGAAGGUUUUUACUUCUCCAAUGUACACACGAGGACCAACGUACAUUGAAAUAAGAGGUUUUACUAUU